rnacentral:rRNA from 1 species
GCGUAGAUAUAUGGAGGACACCAGUGGCGAAGGCGGCUCUCUGGUCUGCAACUGACGCUGAGGCUCGAAAGCAUGGGUAGCGAACAGGAUUAGAUACCCUGGUAGUCCAUGCCGUAAACGAUGAGUGCUAAGUGUUGGAGGGUUUCCGCCCCUCAGUGCUGCAGCUAACGCAUUAAGCACUCCGCCUGGGGAGUACGACCGCAAGGUUGAAACUCAAAGGAAUUGACGGGGGCCCGCACAAGCGGUGGAGCAUGUGGUUUAAUUCGAAGCAACGCGAAGAACCUUACCAGGUCUUGACAUCUUGUGGAAACCUUAAAAAUAAGGAUUUCCCUUCGGGGACACAAAGACAGGGGGGGCAUGGGUGUCGCCACCUCGUGUCGUGAGAUGUUGGGUUAAGUCCCCCAACGAGCGCAACCCUUGUUAUUAUUUGCCAGCAUUUAGUUGGGCACUCUAUAGAGACUGCCGGUGACAAACCGGAGGAAGGUGGGGAUGACAUCAAAUCAUCAUGCCCCUUAUAACAUUGGGGCUAA